UCCACUGCCUAAUUCACCAGCCAGCACUGUGCUGCAAAGUGUUGAAGUGGGAUUCUGUAAUGAAGGUUGUGGUGUCGUGCAUAAACUUCAUCAGAGCAAAGGGACUUAAACACAGGCAGUUCCAAGAAUUCCUGUCUGAACUGGAGUCUACGCACGGAGAUGUGCUGUACUACACAGAGGUCCGAUGGCUGAGCCGGGGCAGAGUUUUGAGGCGUUUUACGAGCUGCUACCCGAAAUUAACGCAUUUCUUCAUUUAAAAGACAAAACGGUCCCAGAGCUGAUCGACCCAGAAUGGAAAUGGCACCUCGCAUUUUUAACAGACGUGACAGAAAUACUUAACAGCCUUAACUUGCAGCUACAAGGCGAGGGGAAACUCAUUUGCGACAUGUAUUCACACAUAAAAGCAUUUGAGGUGAAAUUAGCGCUGCUUUUGGAACAAGUAAAAAGCGCAACUUCGUCCAUCUUCCUGCUACCCAAAACCUGUCGACAGAGAACCCAGCGGUCCGUUCCCAGCUGAAAAGUGCGUGGAAGCACUGGAAAUGCUGAAGGCGGAGUUCGGUGUGUGAUUCAGUGAACUACAUGUUCAUGCAAAAGAAAUCCGUCUUUUUCAGAACCCCUUUGUUGCCGACAUUGAUGAAGCCCAGCCUUCAUAUCAGUUUGAGUUGGCUGAGUUACAGAACUGUGAUGUUCUGAAAGACGCAUUCAAGCCCAACAGUCUCAUUGACUUCUAUGCCGCCCUCCCAAACGACACAUAUCCAAACAUCAAAAAACACGCAAUGAAAAUGUCCACAGUUUUUGGCAGCACGUAUAUCUGCGAGAAAACCUUUUCUUGCAUGAAACUGCUGAAAACCCCGAUGAGAUCAAGAUUGACAGAUGAACAUUUGCAUCAGUGCUUGAGACUGGCUGUAACUAGAAUGGAACCUGAUAUUCAACUUCUCACCAGCCAGAUGCAGGCCCACAGUUCACACUGAUGAACAUACAUAGGGAAGUUGAUGAGAGAGAGCUGCAAACAGCGGUGUCUACAAGCCUACUGGAACCUACAAAAGGAUUAUAAGGAAGGAACACAAGAACUUUAAGAGACUGCUCAUAUGUGUCAGAGAGAUUCUGCUCUGACAACUGAGCUGAACUUUUAUCUGUUAAGAUUGUGCAUGGCACGACAGAAAGUUAAUGUUCCAUGGCUUUUUUUUCUAUGAAGAACCCAGAGAGAGUUAUUUAGUUAUUAUUUAUUUCCUGUUUUUUUCUGUGAAGAACUCAGAGAGGGUUAUUUAGUUAUUAUUUAUUUCAUUAAUAGUGUUAUUAUUUGUUUCCUGACUUUUUUUCUGUAAAGAACCUGGAAAGGGUUAUUUGGUUAUGUGUGGCUUUCUGGAAAACAAUAAAUUUUUUAAGCUCC